GCCCAGACUCCUACGGGAGGCAGCAGUAGGGAAUCUUCGGCAAUGGGCGAAAGCCUGACCGAGCAACGCCGCGUGAGCGAUGAAGGCCUUCGGGUCGUAAAGCUCUGUUGUUAGGGAAGAACAAGUACCAGUUGAAUAAGCUGGUACCUUGACGGUACCUAACGAGAAAGCCACGGCUAACUACG
rnacentral:rRNA from 1 species